AAUCCACGUACCCCACCUCCGUCUCCUCGUAAACUCCGUCUUUUCAAAUCCUUUCCACACCUCCAUGCUGAUAUUUUGCACCACCACCAUCACCAAUGAAAAGACCCACCACCCGCCACUGGUCUGCUCCUAAAUUUAAGCCAAGACCACCGUCCAUAAACAGUCAUUCUCCUAACGGCGUCGUCACAAAGCACAAAGACUCUUCAGAUAUGAAGAAAUCAUCAUCUUCCUCUGCUAAAAACUUUUGUUCUUGCCUUGGUAAUGCACAUUUCUUGAAAUGGAGGGCCGGUGACAUAUGUGGUUUGGUGGUGCACCACCCCGUACCCUGCGUCUUCGCUGCCUCAUUGCUGUUUUUCAUGGCGGUUGAGUACACUCUCGCAUGGUCCCGCCCACCGCGCCGCCGUUUGAUCUAGGGUUUAUUGUCACCAAAAACCUCCACCGGUCACUCGAAUCUCGACCCGCGCUCAACACGAUUCUGGCUGGCCUCAAUACGUUAUAUGUGUUUUCGUAGGAAUGCAAUCGACGUACAUACUAUCGAUGUGGCUAAUGGAGGGUCGACCGAGGGCGACGAUCUCAGCUUUGUUCAUUUUCACAUGUAUGGGAAUACUAGGAUAUGUCACACAGCUACCAUUGCCCGAGAUGCGUCACAUUAAAUUGGUUUUACAAGUGAUAAGAUUGUUGAGUACACGGGGUCAUUACACGAAUGACCUGGCUAUUGGCAUUGGUGCUGGAAUACUAUUUGAUUCUCUGGCCAGAAAGUAUGAAGAUAGCAAGAAAAGAGAAGCGCCAUUAUUCACUAGUGCUACCACCUAUGGUUCUUUCUAUGACUCUCAGAAAGAACGAAAUGGUGAGUUGU